UUGAGACUUAAAUUUAUGCCGGAUAAUACGAUCAACAGUUUAAAAUCCAAAGAAUUUGGCGGUGUCUUAUAUAAUCAGGGGAACCUGUCUCUUAAUUCGAUAGCCCACGUAAAAUCUACCCUUAUCUAGAAUAUCAGCUUGUGUACUGCUGUCGUCAGUAAACCUCUAAAAGAUAGUUUACAAUAAUAACUAACGAACUUAUUUACGUCAAGUCAAAGUGCAGCCAAUGAUAAGGAGUUUGAUGGGUUACAAUCUUCACUAAAGAUACAGAUAAAUUUAACAAAAAAAUUUUAAAGGUGGACUUGAUAGUAAUGAUUAUACGAUAUUAUCAUUAAUAAAUAUCUAAGACAUGCACACAUCGCCCGUCACUCUCGUCGUAAAAUG
rnacentral:rRNA from 1 species